rnacentral:lncRNA from 1 species
GUGUGUCCACAGCUCAAAGUUCUUUUAUUAGAACUGGAUGAUGAUUUGAAUGUUCCAGAGAGGUUUUUUGAAGGGAUGAAAGCAAUAGAAGUUUUGUCUCUAAAGGGAGGGUGUUUGUCAUUGCAAUCACUUCAAUUCUCAACGAACCUUCAAUCGUUGCUGUUGAUCGAGUGUAAAUGCAAGGACCUCAUUUCAUUGAGAAAGCUGCAAAGACUUAAGAUUCUUGUUUUCAGGUGGUGCGACUCCAUUGAAGAAUUACCUGAUGAAAUUGGGGAGCUCAAGGAGUUAAGGUUGUUGGAUUUGACAAGUUGUGAAAAUCUAAGAAGGAUUCCUGUGAAUUUGAUAGGAAGGUUGAAGAAGUUAGAAGAACUGCUGAUCGGGGAUUUCAGCUUCAAGGGAUGGGAUGUUGUUGGAUGUGACAGCACAGAAGGAAUGAAUGCAAGCCUAACAGAACUAAAUUCGCUGUCUCAUUUAGCUGUAUUAUCAUUGAAGAUACCGAAGGUUGAAUGCAUUCCCAGAGAUUUUGUUUUUCCCAGGUUGCUCAAAUAUGAUAUAGUGUUAGGGGAUUGGUAUUCAGAACUCGAUAAAGAAUACCCAACCUCGACAAGAUUAUAUUUGGGUGAUAUAAGCGCCACAUCCUUAAAUGCAAAGACAUUUGAGCAGUUGUUUCCUACUGUGUCUCAUAUUUGUUUUUGGAGAGUGGAGGGUUUAAGAAAUAUAGUAUUGUCCUCUGAUCAGAUGACCACCCAUGGCCAUGGGUCGCAAAAGGACUUCUUACAAAGAUUAGAAUAUGUCAAAGUGAAACAAUGUGGGGAUAUUCGCACUCUGUUUCCAGCAAAAUGGCGGCAAGCUUUGAAAAAUCUAAGGAGAGUGAAAACUUAUGAUUGCAAAUCAUUGGAAGAGGUAUUUGAAUUUGAUGAGGCUGAAGAAGGAAUUAACAAGGAGAAGGAGCUGCCGCUACUGUCAUCUUUAACAACGUUACGGUUGUCAGAUUUACCUGAGCUCAAAUAUAUAUGGAAGGGGCCCACUAGACAUGUCAGCCUCCAAAGUCUUAUUUAUCUGAAGUUGUCGUCUCUUAACAAACUGACAUUUAUCUUCACACCGUCCCUCGCUCAAAGUCUUAUUCAUCUGGAAACACUAGAGAUAGCACAUUGCGAUGAAUUGAAGCAUCUUAUCAGAGAACAGGAUGACGAAAUGAGGACAGAGUCUCUUGGCUUCCCGAAACUAAAAACUCUCUCUAUAAGAUUCUGUGGUAAACUUGAAUAUGUUUUCCCUGUCUCCGUGUCUCCAAGUCUUCAGAACCUGGAAGAGAUGGAGAUUGAUUUUGCUGACAAUUUAAAGCAAGUAUUUUACAGUGGAGAAGGAGAUGACGUCAUCGUCAAGUCUAAAAUUAAAGAUGGCAUCAUCGACUUCCCUCAGCUAAGAAAAUUGUCUCUUUUUUCCGUAUCAAGUUGCAGCUUUUUUGGUCCAAAGGAUUUUGCUGCCCAAUUGCCUUCUUUGCAAGAGUUAACCAUUGAUGGCCUCGAAGAAUGGGGUAAUUUGUUGGCACAGCUUCGAGUACGUCCUUUAUAUUUCUCCAUUUUUUUUCUUUUCUAAUUUAAAUUGUCAACUUCAAUAUAUUGUGAUAAUUUGUUCUAUCUUCCUCCAAAUUUCGAAAACUAAAGUAAUUGAUAAGUUCUUUAACCAUCCACUGAAUUUAAUUGAUGAUUUAAAUUGGCUUAGGAAGUUAGACAUCAAUUACUGUAAUGUAAUUUCUUAUUUCUUCCUUCAGAUUUCUAAAACUAAAGUAAAUGGAUAAAUGCUAGCAAAUCCUUUAGCCAUCCACUGAAUUUAAAAGGAGUGAAAUUGAGGCUCUUCCGCCAAUUAAUGGAAAGUAUUUGAAAGGAAUGAAUAUUGAGUAUUUUAUUUCAGUGCUGCAACUUAUGACAGAUGGUUCAAAAAAUUAAUAAAAAUUGGUUUUUUAAUCCAAUUUUCUAAAGAAUUAGAGUCAAAAGGUAAAACUUGAAACUUUCUAUUUAAAUACAAUAUUUUCUCAUUCAAAGAACUUCAAAAGCACCAAAUUUGUAUUGAAUUCAAAAAACAUAUUUUUUAUAUAUAUUUUUUCAAGUAUUUUCUUUACAAUUUUUUUUAUAAAAUAAUAAUUUCAAUGACCAAUAAUCAAGCAUUUUUAUUGAAAAAAUUUACUAAUAUGUAAAAUUCAAAUUAUUUUCUUUUAUAUUUUUAUUUUUGAUAAUGUCAAAAAAAAAUUAUUAUAAAUUGAAUAUAAAAAAUUAUUUCUUUUGAGUUAAUAAUUAUAUUCUUUUCAUGAUUGCUUUUCAUUUAACUAAUAUAAAAUAAUAGUUGAUAUUUGGAUUAUCAUAAAUAUAAAAAAUUAUGAUUUUAUAUUCCUGUGACCCCGUUGCCCUAUCUAUUUAUAUUUUCUUGUUGAAAAGUAUUUCGGCAUUGGGGAUAAUUGGUUCAUCUAUUUAACAAAAUUAUAUAAUAGUUUCAAAGUCCACAAAAAUUACUAGGAAUUAUAUCUAACAAAUUGGUACCCUUAUUUUCUUUUGAUGCAGGGGCUUACAAGUUUGGAAACAUUAGAGUUGUCCUUCCUGCUUGUGCCUGACUUGAGGUGUAUAUGGAAGGGUCUCGUGCCAUGCAAUUUGACUACUUUGAAGGUGAAAAAGUGUGAGAGACUGACACAUGUAUUCACAAACAGCAUGAUUGCUAGUCUAAUUCAACUGAAAAUUCUAGAGAUAUCAAAUUGUGAGGAAUUGGAGCAAAUUAUUGCUAAGGAUAAUGAUGAUGAAAAGGAUCAGAUAUUGUCAGGAAGUGAUCUCCAAUCUUCAUACUUCCCUAAUUUGUGUCAACUUGAGAUUAGAGGAUGCAACAAGUUGAAGAGUCUCUUCCCGGUAACCAUGGCUUCAGGUCUCAAAAAGCUCCAAAUACUUGAAGUAAGAGAAUCUUCUCAAUUAUUGGGAGUAUUUGGGCAAGAUAACCAUGCUUCACCUGCCAAUAUUGAGAAGGAGAUGGUGCUCACUGAUCUGCAGGAGUUGUUGCUUGUACAAUUACCAAAUAUUUCCCGCUUUAGUCUCGGAUGUUAUGAUUUCUUGUUCCCUCAUUUGAAGAAGUUGGAGGUGGAUGGAUGCCCAAAGCUGACCACAGAAUCUGCUACUACAUCAAAUGACUCAAUGAGUGCUCAAUCAAAGGUGCUGCUGAUUUAACUUGAUUUCUUGCCUCUCGUUUUGUUUUAAAAGUGCACAAUAAUUACUAUGAAUUACAUCUAACAAAUUGGUACCCUUGUUUUCUUUUGAUGCAGGGGUUUAUGAAUUUGAAAGAACUAUCUAUUGCAAACUUGGAAGGAGUACAAGAUUUAACGCAAGUUGGAUGUUUGGUAAGUAAUAGAAGAGGUGGGCAUGAACUUUCACUCGUGAGUUUGGAAACAUUACGCUUGAAAUUAUUGCCAGACUUGAGGUGUAUAUGGAAGGUUCUCGUGCCAUGCAAUUUGACUACUUUGAAGGUGAAAAAGUGUGAGAGACUGACACAUGUAUUCACAGAUAGCAUGAUUGCUAGUCUAGUUCAACUGAAAGUUCUAGAGAUAUCAGCUUGUGAGGAAUUGGAGCAAAUCGUUGCUAAGGAUAAUGAUGAUGAAAAGGAUCAGAUAUUUUCAGGAAGUGAUCUCCAAUCUGCAUGUUUUUCUAAUUUGUGUCGACUUGAGAUCAGAGGAUGCAACAAGUUGAAGAGUCUCUUCCCGGUAGCCAUGGCUUCAGGUCUCAAAAAGCUCAAAAUACUUGAAGUAAGUGAAUCCUCUCAAUUAUUGGGAGUAUUUGGGCAGGAUGAUCAUGCUUCACCUGUCAAUAUUGAGAAGGAGAUGGUGCUCCCUGAUCUGAAGUUGCUGAUUCUAGAAAAAUUACCAAGCAUUGUCUACUUCAGUCAUGGAUGUUGUGAUUUCAUAUUCCCUUGUUUGUCGAUAUUGGUGGUGCGUCAUUGUCCAAAGCUGUCCACAAGAUUUGCUACUACAUCAAAUGAUUUAAUGAGUGCUCAAUCAAAGGUGCUGUAUAUUUGACAUGAUUUCUUGCCUCUCUUUCAGUGUUUUUAUUUCUUGUUUCCCUCAAUAAUAAGACUUACAAGUUAGAAUGUGUAUGCCAUGCUUGAAUUGCUUUUGCAGGUAUCUCAAGUAGUUGAGGAUUCAAGUACUGGUUGCUCCGUGCCAACCAGCACUGCUAUAAGAUGGACCCGGGAAUAUGGGUGGGAAUUGAAAGAGGAAGAGGAUGGAGUCAGAUGAUUAGUUUGGCAUUGGAAUUUGAAAAACAUGCUAGUAAUUAAUUCUUGCAGGUAAAAUGGCUGCAACUAUUUAUCUUCUAUCCUUGUUUAAAUGGUUGGAUUAAAUCAACAAACACGAGAUGCCUGGAUGAUGUUUGUUCUUGAUGUUUGCAUUAGGUUGGUUGGUUACCUAUGUGAUGAUCAAAUCGACAUUGGUGGGAAGUAAUUCCAGCUGUUUCAUUAGCUACAACAAUUUGUCUUAUUUCAUGUGUUUGUUGUGUGAACUUCCAGAAAUAAGGGUAAUGUUACGUGUUUAGUAAUUUAUUGUGCGAAUCUCCAGAAAUAAGGGCGUAUGUUUGUUUUCCCAUUUGUGUUUCUUUUUCAAGUGUCUGAACCUUAAAAAGCGAGGGCAUAAUGUUUACUCAUUUGUGUGCUUAUGGUUUAAUGUGGGGAUUCUCAUUCUCCUCAUUUUGAUGUUCUAUUUCUAUUACGAUUCUUUAUGUGGUUAAUUUGUUAUUGUGCGUACCGUAUAGUAAUACGGUUUCUACAUGAAUAUAUAUAAAUACAUGUGAAUGAGUAUAUAUAUAAAAAAAUCAAUUUAUAAAUUUAUUGAUAGAAUAUGAAAUUCCAAGGUGUAAGUAAAAGGAUAAAUCCUCUAGCUUUGAAAAGAAUUAGUGUUUGCCUUUGAGAUUGUAAUAUAUUUUUUUUCAGGUCUAUUCAAUUUAAUAUUUUUAAUAAUACAAAUGAAAAUAAACAGCAAAUUUAAUUUAUAAAUGUAACUAUCUCAAAACAAUGUAGAGAAGGAAGAAAGAUUAGUAGAAUAAAAAUAAAAUAAAUAGACUUUUAAAAAGCAAAGAGUUUUAAAUGUUAAAUUUUUUUUUUAUUUAAUAGACCCAAUUUUGUGUUUUUUUUUUUUUUUUAUAAAGAUAACUCUAUUUUAAUUCUGAUUUUUUAGCAGCACAAUUUUUCAUUCAUCAUAACACACACAUAAUAUUUUUUUUAAAUAGUUAACAUGUCAUAUUAACAUAACGGUAAGAUUAUAUUAUAAUGAUGAACAAGAAUGAAGAAUUAUACUAAAUAUAAAAUAAUAAAUCAAAAGCAUCAAUGAAAAAGAAAUCACCUUUCUAUUUAUUUAGGCUGUCUAAAGCUAAAACUUACUAGAUUAAUUUUAUCACACACAACAAUUAAUUAGUCAUUAAAUUUGGACUAUUGUUGAAAAAACAUGCUAAAUACAACAUCAUAAGCCCGAUGGGGAUAUGAACUUAAGCAACUUCUACCCAAAAAAGUGAGGAACAAGUGCCUCAUGGGGAUUAACCUCCUAAGGGACAGAGUUAGCACAAUGAGAUUUUAUCACAUAUUAUUUGUUUAAGAUUUACCAGACUUGUAUCUAAUGAGAUUCUCGUUAUAAAAUAUAUGUGUGUGAGGAGAGUAGUUCAUGAAACUUGAUCAAAGAAAUUCUUUUUUGUAAUUUCACAGAGGCUCGUCUGAUGCAAAAAGGGUUGGAAUCUGAUAAUUGUUGUGUUCAUUGUGGAGCUGUUGGGGAGUCUCGUGAACAUGUACUGGUCCAUUGUUCUUAUAUGAAUGUUAUUGUAAAAUACUAUAUAUGUACGAAUGUGAAUGAGUAAAGGAUAAAUCCUCCAGCCUUGAAAAAAUUAGUGUUGAAAAAAUUAGUAAAGGAUAUGUACUGAUAAUUGUUGAUUUCAUAUUCCCUUUAAGAGCUUGUACGUAGUUGAUUGUAAUUUUUUUUCUCAAAUUUAUUAAAUAUUUUAUUUUUGAUAACACAACAACAACUAACUUUAUAAACGUAACUCUUUCAAAAUAACGAUGAGAAGGAACAAAAAAUUUAAUAAAAACAAAGAGUUAAUGUUAAAAACUUUUUGAAAUUGUCUAUUUUUUAUAGUUAAUUUAGAAUUAUUUUAAUUAAAAAAAUAAACCGUUAUUUAACAUAUACAUCUAUAUAUUUAAACAAAACAUAACUCUAUUUUAAAAUCAAUUUUUUAGCAAACACAUUUUUUUAGCAAACACAAUUUUUCAUUCAAUGUAACAUGUAAUUUUUUUAAGAAUCGUUAACGUGUCAAUAUUAACAUACCAGUAUGAUGCUAUUAUAAUGAUCAACAAGAAUGAAGAAUUACAACGAAUAUAAAAUAAUUAGUAUAAUUGUUUAUGUUUUGCAAUGGAUUAAUAAUAAUUUUUUAAAAAUAUAUAAAAAAAUAUUAAAAAUAUAAAGAAUAUUUUAAGUGUUUUGAGUCAGACGAAUAUACCAGACUCGAGAGUUUUGGAUCUGACAACCCUUACAUAACCUAAGUAAACAACAAACAAAUAGAAAAUAAAUAUGUAUUUUAAUUGUCAAGAGAGAGAAAAAAAAAAGCACAAAUAGUCAAAGAAAUAUUUAACAAAAAGAUAAGAUGAGAAAUUAAAAAUAAAACUAGUAUUAUAAUUUAUAAUUAAAUAUUUUUUGAUCUACAGUAAUUUUCAUAUACUUGUUAUAAUAAAUCAAAAGCAUCAAUGAAAAAUAAACUUCUAUUCUAUUUGGGCUGUGUAAACCUAAACCAACUAGAUUAAGCCCAGAAUGCAUUUUUUAUCACACUGCAACAGGUAGUCCAGUAAAUUUGGAUUAUUGCUGAAAAAACAAGCUAAAUCCAACAUCAUCAGCCAGGCCCACAAUUAAACCAAAAUAGAAACCCAAAGCAAGAGGCCUAUAACAGGAUGUAUCUACUGAAGCCACUUCUCCCUAAAAAAUGGAAGGAAAAAAAAAAAAAAAACUAGGCAACUUGUGAGCCAUCAUGCAUAGCAAAGAGGAAGUGAGGAACAAGUGCCUCAUGGGGAUUCAGCUCCUAAGGGGCUUUAUCCUUCUGGAGACAUGUCUUAUAAGCUAUGAAAAUAGGACGAGAAGGAAUAAUUAUUCCUUACCUGUUCGUUUAUCAUAUUCCAAAUAAUUCGUUGUAUUAUUCCGUUGAUUGAUAGCUUCUAAGACAUGUCUCCAGAAGGAUAAAGCUGUUCAAGCAGGUCUGAACUUUCUCUCUAGCUGGUCUGCUUCUCGGUUUACACCAGCACAUACAGCAAUUCAUCCUAAUUUGCUUAAAUGGGAGAAACCUCCUCCUGGUUUUAUCAAAUGCAAUAUAGAUGCAGCAGUUGACAAUAAUCAAGAGGCUGUGGGAGCAGUGUUUGUCUUGCAUGAUGAGGAGGUGGCUUUGAUAAUGCGUGGCUGCUGGCAUGCUAAUGAUGUUUUUUUCCCAAAGUUAGCAGAGGUAUUAGUUUUGAAAGGGUUUUCUUUCAUCAUAUAUAUAUAUAUAUUGGUAUCACCCUUGAAUAUUAACCAAAUAUAACCUAAAUAACCUAAUUUUUUUUUCAUUUAAUUUCUGAUUUUCUGAAAGCAUUUGAUUAUUACAACAUAAAAUAGGAUAAAAGUUGAAAAACAAAAAGCACCCACACCUACAUAAUAAAAUGGGCUAAUUGUAUGGUCACAAUCACAUUAGCAUUAGCAGAUGUCGGCUAUAAAUUACAAAAUCAAAAUAACCUUAACCAAAAUUGAUUACCCCAAAUUAAUUUUAAAAUUAGAUUUAUUUAACUUAUAUCUAAAAUUUAUUAAUCUGAAUUUCUCCCUAUAAAAAUAUAUGGAACCUGAUAAAAAAACAAUUUCUUCUUCAAUUUUUUUAAUCAUGAUUUGUAAAUCUUGAUAUAAAGAAAAUGAGGAAUGAAUUUCUCAUGACUCCAACAAAGUAUAUGUUCAAGCCUCAUUCUCAAUGUGGAGGGGCGAGAGUAUUAAACUUCAGGAUUAAAAUAUUAUUUGGUUAUUAUUUUGAGAUAAAAAAAUAUAAAGAUAAUGGAAAUAUAAAAGAUAUGUCUUUAUAUAUUUUUUAUUUUAAAAAUAUAAAAAAAAAUUAAAAAAAUUAUUCCCAAAAAAAAUUAUUUUAUGUAGCUAUUUUCAUCUUCACCAUCAAACACAUUUUCAUCACUCCUGUAUUUAUUUAUUUUGUUUUAAAAUAUUAACUAAAUACAGCUUAAUUUUUAAAUCUGAGUUUAUAAAAAAAAUAUGAAUAUCACAACAUAGGAUAAAAGUUUUAAGAAGAAACACUCACAACAACAACAAUAAUAAUAAUAAAAUCUUUACAAAUUUAUGCUAUAAAUGACAAAAUAAAAAUAACCUCAACAAAUCUAGUCCUAAUUUUACAUUAAUCCACAAGCAAGUUGUUAAUUGGUGGCUCAUUCCAGACUGUCAAGUCAAGCAUUGAACCUUGAACUUUUCAAAUUGCAUUUUCGUUUUCAAUAUUUUGUUCCAAAUUGCAUUUUCCCUUUCAUUUUUUUGUACAUUGAUUGAAUGGUACAGUCCUCAUUUUCAUUUACUUUUGGAAAUAAACAAAAAAUUCCUUUCAAGUUUCAAGUUACUAAACGACGUGCAGCUCAAUCAAUGCCUUCAUUGCCUACGGCCUUUAAAAAAUCAACUCAUUAGUUAGUUUCGUCCUUGGCUCGCUUAGAACGACAUCCACCCGAAUGUUUGACAUGUGGCACUUGAAGAUCAGAUUAAGAGAAUGUUAGAUGUUCAAUUAAUCUUUUAAUUAUAGAAAUUUAAAAUUUGUUUUAGAUAAAAUGAUUGGUAGGAGAUAUCUAGUAAGUUAAAAUGACUGAUGUCUAAACUGCUAUGAUGAUAAGUAGUUGUUACUUGCAAAUUUGAUGUGAGUAUUCUUACAUGUUUAAGAAAGAAUUCAUAUAAAAAGAAAAAAUAUAAUAAUAUUUUAAAGAGAUAGACUCUAAAAUUAUUAAAAAUAAAGAUAUUAUUAACCUUAAACUUUGAAGAUUCAUUUAGUAUUUAUAACUCACAAAUCUUGUCUUUUAUGAAGAGAAGAAGUUGAAAAAUAAUUUUAUCCUUGUGGUAUUUUGAGUUUUAUUUCACUCAAAAUAAAAUAUUGUAAAACUCGUAUGGGAUCUUGAAAAAAUUAAUUUGAUUGUGGUAUUUUGAGUUAUAUUUUACUUAAAAUAAUAGUAUUGAAUCAAUAUAAAAUAUUGAGACAUUUAUGUGGGAUCUUGAAAAUAUUAAUUUUAUUUUUAUGAUAUUUUAAAUUAUAUUUUACUCAAAAUAAUAUAUAUUAAUUUAAUAUAAAAUAUUAAAAAACCUGUGUGGGAUCUUAAAAAAAUUUGAACGGAGAGGUAGUUCCGACGAGUUACUUAAGUUUGUUACAAGUGAAAAAUAGAUCAACACGUGCUACAUAUCCACACGUAUUGUCUAAACCCACACAUAUUGGAUUCAAAAUAUACGCUAAAGCCCAUAAAGAAGCUGGGAUGUAUGCGGAAAGGUAUAUGGGUCAAGGCAGCGUCUGGAUUCAAGGGCAGUUAAGCUUUGGGAGGUUUUUUUAUCCCAUUAAAUUUUGGUCUAAAGCAGAUAGAAAGUUAUUGUUUUGUUGAUAGUUAGUCCUUUUCUUUUAUUGACUUGGUUUCUUUGGGUGUUGACUAGUUAUUUAUGGUGAAGUGAUAAUCUCUUUUUUUGUUCUGCAUAUGGUAAUGUGGUGUGAAAUGUUUUUAUAAAAAUAUUUUUUAAUUAAAAAUGUAUUAAAAUAAUUUUUUUCCAUUAAAAACAAACUUUAAAAUCAUUAAAAAAAAUACUUAAAAAAUUAAAUUAACAACAUUAAUUUAAUAUUUUUUAAAAUUAAAUAAAAUUUCAAAAGUAAUUAAUUUAAAUCACCUAUUAAAGCAGAAGGAACAUUUGUGCUUGAAUCCUGAGAUAAUUAAGUAGGAAAAUUUUGCAUUUUAUGAAGUUGUUUUUUUCUUAGUUAUGAUGAUUUAUUUUCUUGGAGGUCCCUAAAGUGGAAUAUUAAUGGUCCCAAAAUUUACAAAGUUUUCCUGCAAUCAAACAGUGCCCUUUUGAAAUUGCUCAAUUAUUAAUCGCUUGGUGUUUUCUUGACAACACAUUACUUUAAUUUUGUGGUUGAUUAGAGCUCUAUCUUCAAAAGUUUAAUCUUCAAAUCUUCUUCUAAAUUCUUUAAUUUUGCUCUCAUAUUGAAUUUAUGAAAAUGUUAUCUUUUUUUAUAUAUUGUUAAAAUGAUGUCAAGUCUUAAAGACUGUUAGCCAUGUGUUCCUAAUUAACUUCUGAUAUUUUGUAUUAUACCUCAUACAUAAUUGCUGGAAGAUAAAAUAAUUUAUUUUUUAUUCAUGUUUAUUAGCUUUCUAUCUAUUAUACAUGCAAAAGUUUAUCUUAUAAUACUUUUAACCAAACGUAUUUUUAAAAAAAACCCAACUAAAAGUGUUUUUGUUAAACCUAUUUUUUUAAAUCGCAACUAUAAAUGCUAUCGUUAUUGUAUGUUUGGUAAUGUGGUGUAGAAUGCUUUUACAAAAAUAUUUUUCAAUUGAAAAUGCAUUAAAAUAAUUUUUUUCAAUUAAAAAAACACUUCAAAAUCAUUAAAAAUACUUCAAAAAUUAAAUUAAUAACAUUAAUUUAAUAUUUUUUUAAAAAAUCAAAUACAAUUUAAAAGGUAAUUAAUUUAAAUCAAAAAAUUAAAUUAACGAGUUUUUCCUUUAUUUGAAAGGGAAGGGCUAAACGAUAUUUGUGUAUUUUCUUUGCACAAUGUGAUUAUUUAAUUACCCUUGGAAAACAAAGAAAAUCACUUGGGUCUAGGGGCUUAUUAGUCUUUGACUUGAUUUUUCAACAAGUAUGUUACUUCAUUGUCCUUAAAAAUUUAAAACAAUUAUAUGACUCUGAGGCUCUUUUAUCAUUUAGAUGUGGUCAUUUAGUAGUUAUUAGGUGUCAUUGGAGACAAUAAGAUAAUUUAGUAAAUAAGAAAAUUAAAUUAAAAAAAUAGAAUCAAGUGAACAAUGUUUGCCACCUCCGAAUGAUGUGUGCGGCAUCAUCCAAUACCCAAAAUGGUGAUUCCAGGGAGGCUUCUGAAGGAUCUCAAUGUCCCCCUACAAAUCAACGACGCGUGUAGCACUAUAGCGGUUGGUGGGACGUGUGUGGCCUUCUGUUUUUUUUCUUUUCCCGUCUCUCCUACUCGAUUUUCGUGUUGGGAUUAAAAAAUCAAAUCAGUCCCUAAAGUUUAUUGUACUUAUGAUUUCAUCCCUUUUCUCUUUAUUAUAAUUUUUUAAAUUUAGAAUACUUUAUGAAAUUAUGUGGUUUUUUCAAUUUCAUAAUUGUUCUCUUUGUUGCCUUUUUUUUUUUAGAAUAGUCUACUAAAUUAAGAAAUGUUUUUAAUUUUAGAUGGUUUUCACAAUAUUUUUUUUACCUUGCAAGAUUUUUUUAUUAUGUCAUCCUCCAACAUUUAAAUAGCCUGGUCUUUAGCUUUUUAGUUGAGUCCGGGUCUAAAAUUUAACGGUUUGUUGGUUUAAGAAAUUGACCCCGGUUUCUUUGUUUUUUUUCCAUCCUCCAACAUUUUGUUAUUUUUUAGUCUUUUUUAAAAUAAUGCAGGUUGCCUUGGUUUUUUUUUUUUUUUUUGUCUUUGUUGAAUUUAGUUUUAUGAAGGAAUUUUAUUUUUAAAUUGAAUUAAAUUGAUUGAUUUCAUCUUCUAACAUUUAUUUUUUUAGGUGUUAAGCUCCUACAUUGAGCCUGAGUCAAAAAUUUAAUGGAUUACGGGUUUAAGAGUUUAACCCGAGUUUAUAGGAUUCACGCUCAAGCUUCUUUGGUGUUUUAUUUCUUUUUUAAGCUGUUUUCUUUUUUCAUAUUUCAAUCUCUAACAUUCUUUUUAUGUUUUUUUUUAUUGGUAUCUCCCUUGAAUAUUAAAAAAAUAUAACCUAAAUAACCUAAUUUUUUUCAUUUAAUUUCUGAUUCUCUUAAAGCAUUUGAUUAUUACAAGGAUAAAAGUUAAAAAAACAAAAGGCACCCACACACCUACAUGAUAAAUCGGCUAUAAAUUACAAAAUCAAAAUAACCUCAGCCAACAUUGAUUACUCCAAAUUAAUUUUAAAAUUAGAUUUAUUUGACAUAUAUCUAAAAAAAAUUAAUCUGAAUUUCUUCCUAUAAAAAAUAUGUGAGCAGAGUAUUUCAUGAAACCUAAUAAAAAUAAGAUUCUUCUUCAAUUUUAUUUUUUUAUCAUCAUUUGUAAAUCUUGAUAGAAAAAAUGAGGAAUGUAUUUCUCAUGCCUCCAAACCUCAUCACUCCUAUAUUUGUUUAUUAUCUCCUAAAUACUAACUAAGCACAACCUAAUUUUUAAAUCUGAAUUUUUUAAAAGCAUUUAAUUAUCAUAACAUGUGAAUAAAAAUUUGUGCUCCAAAUGACAAAAUAAAAAUAACCUCAACAAACAUGAUUAGUACUAAUUAAUUUUUACAUUAAUCCACAAGCAAUUUUUAUUAUUGUUCGUGUUAUUUUUGACCUGUCAAGUUAAUCGAGUCAUAUUGUGUCAACUUUCAUGUUUUUAUUUGUAUUUAAAAUUUGAAUGAAAUAAUUCCAGGUUAAUUUAUUUUUAAAUUUAAAUUUAAAUUAUAUUUAUUAAAUUAUAUAUAUAACCCCAAAAAAACAUGCCAAAAUACCCCAAUAAAAAUCAAUGCAGAGCCUUAAUAUACGUACGGGACUUGUUAUAGAUUUCUUUAAAUUGCUUGAAAACGACUCCGAAGUCCAUGCCAUGUACGCGAAGAAAAAGUGACUCUAGAGACAAGGCCAUCUAAUUAAUUAGGAAACAUUUAUUAUCUUUUACGGCAUUAAAAAUGAGCAGAAGGAGGACUCACUGUAACCCUUCUUAUAAUUUUUUUAUCCACCGUAAUAAUUAUUUUGUUAUUCUUAUAAAAUAUAAAGAUAUUUGUUGUUAAUUGUAAAUUUGGUUGAGAGUAGUUACUGUUAUCUAUUUUUUUUAAUUUUCUAAACUAAAUAAAAAAAUAAACACCAUAAACAAAAAUAAUUUUCUAAAUUAAAUAAAAAUAACUAAAAAAUAAAUAAUUUCCCCUAACAAUCCUCGUGUACUUAUCCUGAGUUAUUUAAUUGUUUGUCUCUAGCUACUGGGGAGCACCGCCAUGAAAAGUUGUGUGAGUGCCUUUGCGCUUCAUGGAUUUCUAACAUAUAAUCAUCCGACUCAGAUAAAAUAUGCCAAGAAUCAGUCCCACUCUCCACUACCAAAUCAUUCUUUAUUGAUGAUGUUUGGACAGUACUGCGGAAGAAGAUGAAGUUCUAGAAUCUAAAUUAUAUUUCUAUCGCAAAACCAUAUAUCAAAUCGAUGUAUGGACAAGUGAAUUCGCAUCAGAAUCCCAUGCAACUUUUCAAACGAGCAGCUAACUCUUUAGAAAUAUUAUAUUGAUAAUUGGCAUAUUCAAAAGUGUACGAGGAUCGAUGACCAAUCUUCAGGUUACUUUGAAAUUCAACAGUUAUAGAAAACAAUAUAGCCCUGAAGUCCAGCUUUAGGUGCAUGUUUUCUGCCUUCUGCACAUAUUUAAAACAAUCGCAUUAUCAGUAUGAACAAAAAGUCGCAUUAUCUUCGCUCUUUUCUCCAAAUAUUUGACACACGGGAAAAAUAAACCUAGUUGUUAAUCUAUAGCAUACCUAAAACCAUCUUCUUUGCGUAAAAAUACAUCAGUCAUGCUAAAACGUCCUGAUACUUUAUCAAAUAGAUAAUAAAUUUAUAUUUUACCAAGUAUAAGAUAUCAGUAAGCCACCUUUUAUUCAUAAAAAAAGUCUACCAGCCACCUUAGUGUUGGUAAAGGCGAAUCGAGAGUCAACAUUCAACACUACAAAGUACAAACUACUCAAUUUAAUGGAAAGAAAAAACAAAUAAAAAGUACACAUAUAAGAUUUAAUGUGGGUCAUUAAGCAAAAUUCUAUCUACUCGGCAGACCUAGAGUAACCAUUCUUUACUUGAGAGGAAAUAUAAGAAUAUCAACGUGAUUUUUAUACUUGAAUAUAAAUUCCAAAACUUCUUUGGUAAACCUACUCACUCACUCAAAAGAAAAAAAUUUGAUGAACAAGAAAGAAAACAGCUUGGUGACUAUUCUCAUAGGCAAAGCCAUGAUGAUUCGUAGAUAAGGGGGAUACAAAUAAAAAUACUAUCCCUUCACACAAAUUUAUGUAUAACUUUUUUAUACAUUUCUAAGAAUUAUCUUUAUAAUUAAUUGCUUAUUAUUAUUUUUAUUUAAAAUAGUUUUAAAAAUAAAAGAAAAUUGAAACUUAAGAAACAUGUUUAAUAAAAAUAAAAAAGGUUAACGGACGCAUGUUAUGUGAUUCGAAGAGUUAUUAUUCUGUCUUAUAUAACAAUGCUAUAACAAAAGGCUGAUAUUAAAUAUAUUACCAUCGAUAGUAGUUUAAGAUUUACCAGACUUGAAUCUAAUGAGAUUCUCGUUAUAAAAUAUAUGUUCUUAUUCAUAGAGUUUAUAAAGGUUAUUACCCUUUUUUAUAUUGUUGAAAUGAUGUCAAAGUCUUAAAGACUGUUAGCCAUGUGUUACUAAUUAACUUCUGAUUUUUUGCAUUGUACGUCGUACAUAAUUGCUGGAAGAUAAAACAAUUUAUUUUUUAUUCGUUUUUUUUUUAUCUAUUUUACAUGCAAAAGUUAUCUUAGAAUACUUUUAACCAGAUAUAUUUUAAAAAAAAACCGCAACUAAAAGUGUUUUUGUUACAUUUAUUUUUUCAAAUCAUAACUAUAAAAGCUAUCAUUAUUGUAUGUUUGGUAAUGUGAUGUAGAAUGAUUUUACAAAAAUAUUUUUCAAUUAAAAAUAUAUUAAAAUAAUUUUUUUCAAUUUAAAAAACACUUCAAAAUCAUUAAAAAAUACUUAAAAAUUAAUUAACAACAUUAAUUUAAUAUUUUUUAAAAUUAAAUACAGUUUCCAAAGUUAUUAAUUUAAAUCAAAAAAUUAAAUGAACAAGUUUUUCCUUUAUAUUAUACUAUAUACUAAAAGAUAGCAGCCUUUCAUUGUGGAUUCGUAUAGUGAAAGACUAAAGGCUGAUUUUAUCCUUUAGUGAGCAAAGUAGCAUGCCUUGAAUUUAGAGAUAUAAUGGUUUUUUUCAUGGGAUACAUUGGUCAUUGUUUCAAAGGGAAGGGCUAAAUGAUAUUCUUGCAUUUUCUUUGCACAAUGUGAUGAUUUAAUUACCCUUGUAAAAAAAUCUUGGGUCUAGGGGGCUUAUUAAUCCUUGACUUGAUUUUUCAACAAGUAUGUUACUUCUUUGCCCUUGAAAAUUUAAAACAAUUAUCUUUGACUCUAACGCUUUUUUGUCAUUUAGAUGUGGUCAUUUAGUAGUUAUUGGGUGUCGUUGGAGAUAAUAAAAUAAUUUGGUAAAUUAAAAAAAAAACAGAAUCAUGUGAACAAUGUUUGCCACCUCCGAACGGUGUGUGUAGCGUCAUUCAAUAGCCAAAAUGGUGAUUCCAGGGAGGCUUCUGAAGAAUCUCAACCCCCCCCCCCCAAUGAAUCAAUGACGCGUGUAGCACUAUAGUGGUUGGUGUGACGCGUGUGACCUUUUGUUUUUUUCCCCUCUCUCCUACUCGAUUUUCAUGUUGGGAUUAGAAAAUCAAAUUAGUCCCUAAAGUUUAUUGUACUUAUGAUUUCAUCCCUAUUCUCUUUAUUAUAAUUUUUAAAUUUAGAAUACUUUAUGAAAUUAUGUGAAAUUAUGUGGUUUUUUCAAUUUCAUCUUUAUUCUCUUUGUUGCAUUUUUUUAAUUUAGAAUAGUCUACUAAAUUAAUAAUUGUUUUCAAUUUCAGAUGGUUUUCACAAUUGUUUUUUUUUUUCAAUUUCAUUAUUUUUUAGUUUUUUUCCUAUUAAAUCUAAUCUUUUUUUAUUAUUGUAUUUUUUUUGACCUUGCAAGAUUUUUUUAGAUUGAUUUUUUUUUAUUAUGUCAUCCUCCAACAUUUAAUUAGCCGAGUCUUUAGCUUCUUAGUGGAGUCUGAGUCUAAAAUUUAAUGGUUUAUUGGUUUAAGAGAUUGACCCCAGUUUCUUUGUUUUUUUUUUCCUUUUUUUUUCCAUCCUCUAGCAUUUUGUUAUUUUUUAAUUCACUUUAUAUUGUAUUUUUUAGUCUUUUUAAAAAUAACGCAGAUUGCCUUGGUUUUUUUUUUUUUUUGUCUUUGUUGAAUUUAGUUUUUAUGAAGGAAUUUUAUUUUUAAAUUGAAUUAAAUUGAUUGAUUUUAUCUUUCAACUUUUAAUUUUUUAGGUGUUGAGCUCUUGCGUUGAGCUUGGGUCAAGAAUUUAAUGGAUUGCGGGUUUGAGAGUUUAACCCGAGUUUAUAGGGUUCACUCGGGCUUCUUUGGUGUUUUGUUUCUUUUUUUAAUCUCUUUUCUUUUUCAUAUUUCAACCUAUAACAUUCUUUUUUUACUCUCUUUUUAUAGGAUUUAUCUUUCUUUUUUAAAAUAACAAGGGUUGCCUCAAAGUUUUUUCUUUCAAUCUUUGUUAAAUUUUGCUUCUUUAAAAGGAUUUUUUAAUUAAAUUAAUUUUUUUAAUUUCAUCCUCGUGUAUUUAAAUUGAGGCAAUACAUGAGAGAAUUUUUUUUUAAUUAAGUUUUUUGAAAAUUGGUAUUUGUUUUUCCAUUUUUUUCUAUAAAGUUAUCCUGAUAUUAUGUCUCAAGUCAUCGAUUCAAUAGAUUUACCAAGUUUGACUUAGGUAUUUUUUUCAUUUCUUUUUAUUUGUUUUAUCUUGAGUCAAUGAUCAAAAUCUUAAUUUUUUUUAAAAAAAAUGCAUCGUCAUAGUGUUUUUUUUACUUGGUUUUUUUUUUCUAAAUCUAUAUUUCUUUCUCUAUUUUCAUACUUCAACAUUUAGUUUAUUAGAGACCGGGUUUAAUAAUUUAUUGUAGUUUGCUUUAUAUAUGGUUAGUUCAGUUUCUUUAUACGCUAUAAACUAAAAGAGGUGGUGAAUUUACUAUUUACCGCCUCACAAAACACUAUUCAUUCCAAUAAUAUUUUUUUAAUUUUGUUUUUUGUUUUCUAAAUCUAUAUAUUAUUUCUCUAAUUUCAUAUUUCAACAUUUAGUUUAUUGGAGACUGAGCUUACUAAUUUAUAAUAGUUUGCUUUAUAUAUGGUUAGCUAAGUCUAAUAACUCGUAUUACGGGUUUGACGAGUUAGCUCAAUUUUUUUUUUUGUCUUUUUAUAAUUGGUAUUUUUUAAUUUUAUCAUUCAAUAUUGGGUUAAUUAUGAAUUAAGCUUCAUGAUUUAUUUUGAUUUGUUUUUUAUGAGGUUAUCCUGGUUUUAUGACUCAGGUCACGUGUUUUACGAAUUAAGUCGUGUAGACUCAGGUCUUUUAUUAUAUAAUAUUUUUAGAUUGAUUUUUUUUUUCAAUUUCAACCUUAAACAAUAAGUUUAUUGAAAAUUAAGAUUUAUAAUUUGUUUUGAUUUACUUUUUAUAAAGUUAUCACAAUCUCAUGACCUUGGUUGCGGGUUUGGCAAGUUAAUCUAGGUUGAGACUCACGCUAUUUUUUUUGUUUACUUUCUAUGAAAAAUUAAAAUAGUUUAGUAAUAAAAUUAAUAUAAAAAAUAAAUUGGGUGCAAAAUUGAUAACACCCAUGUAGUUUAAUGGUAUAUUUUUUUUUUAAACAAAAGGCUAUCAUUUUGAAAGUUUUAUUAAAAAGUCAUGUUUUUAACAAUCAUUAAGAUUGUAUUUUGAUCCAUAAAAUCAAUUAAUUUAAUUUAAGUUAAAUUUUACAUGAUUUAAUUAAAAACUUGAGUUAGAUAAAAAAAAACUAAAUUAUAAAAUUAACUUAUUAAAUCAAUAAUAUAAUUAAAAGAUCUUCAUGCUUUUAAUAUUUUUUUACAUUUAAAAAAAAUUAUCCAAUGAAUAACAGUUCAAUAAACUAGUAGAAGUUAGAUCAUGAGACACUCACAUCAGCUGAACUACUUCAUGAUUGAUAUGUUUUAAAUUAGCAAUUAAAAUAUCAAAGGAUUUCUGGGACACUCCCAAUGAUAUUAAUUUGUAAAAUACUUAAUUUUUUUAGGUAAUUGUAACAUAAAUCCUUAAUUGAAAAAUAAAAAUAGUUUACUAAUAAAAUUAAUAUAAAAAAUAAAUUGGGUGCAAAAUUGAUAACACCCAUGUAGUUUAAUGGUAUUUUUUUUUAAAAAAAGCUAUCAUUUUAAAAGUUUUAUUAAAAAUUAAGUCAUGUUUUUAUCAGUUAUUAAAAUUAUAUUUUAAUCCAUAAAAUCAAUCAAUUUAAUUUAAGCUAACUUUUACAUGAUUUAAUUAGAAAGUUAGAUAAAAAAAACUAAAUUGCAUGAUUUUAUAAUUAACUUAUUAAACCAGAUUUAAUAAUAUAAUUAAAAGAUUCUUCAUGAUUCUUCAAAAUUUACAUGAUUUAAUUAGAAAGUUAGAUAGAAACUAGAUCAUAAGACACUAACGUCAGAUGAACUACUUCAUGAUUGAUAUGCUUUAAAUGAGCAAUUAAAAUAUCAAAGGAUUUCUAGGAUACUCCCAAGAUGUUUAAUUAUUAGAGGGUUAAUUUUAGUUCCCUGAUAUCUUCUGAUUGUUGCUGGUUGUAGAUUUCCUCCUUCUUCCAUCUUGAUGACUGCUACUCAUAUCAAAGGAUUUGCAAACUAAAUUCAUGUUUUUUUUUUUUUUUUUUUUUUUUUUUUUUUUAAGUUGAAAAUUCAGUUGAAUCAACCAGAUCAGAUCAGAUCAGAUCAGAUCUAGAUUUAAUCAACUUAAUUUUAUUUGAAAAUGACAGGGAAUUGACAUUCUUAACUUUAUUUGUUUGUCAUUAUCUUUAUAUUAUGCUUUUUAUCUUAAUUAUUUCAUAAAAUUGCAUUUUUAUGGGAAUUGCUGCUUUAAACUCAUAAGUGUAAACUAUUUUGUUUCAAUGUAUUCGUUAGAUCGGUGGUAUGCUAUCUUUCACUAAUGAAAUUCUGUUUAUUGGUUUUGAGAAGAAAAAAAAAAGUAUUUCUAUCUUUGUUUUAUGGAAAAAGCACAUAGAUCCAAGAACUAGAUAUAACAAAAGAUAUUCGAGGAAAUGAGUGUUUAAAAUUAGAUAAAGCUGUUGUGUAAAUAAGCGUAUGAUGCAGAGAUAGUCAUUACAGAUUUUAGUUGGCUAAGAUUGAUCCUUUGUUGAGUUCGUUCCAUUAAUUAUACUUCCUUGCAAGUCUUUUUUGUCUCCUUAUUCAUAACUUUUUUUUUUAAAAAAAAACAUUGACCUAUCAUAGCUUUAGAUUGAUUAGAUGAGUUGUUGGAAGCGAUGAGCAGCUCGUAUCAUUCGUGCAGGUGUCAAAGUGAUCAUCAUCAACCUUCCAUACAGAGAGACUGGUGGAAAAUGGCUAUCGAAAGUGUUGGUGGGUCCGUUGUAUCUAAGAUAGCAGAGCUCUUGGUGGAACCAGCAAUCAAGCAGUUCCGUUACAUGUUCUGUUUCAACAAUUUUGUUCAAGAAUUCGAUGAACAAAUGAUGAACCUGGCUUUGGCAUUUUAUCGUCUGCAAGAUGCUGUCAACGUAGCUGAAAGGAAUGCUGAAGAAAUUGAGAUUGAUGUCAACACAUGGCUGGAAAAUGCAAAAAACGAAAUUGAAGGUGUGAAUCGUUUGCAAAAUGAAAAAGGAAAAAUCAUCAAAUGCUUUACUUGGUGUCCAAAUUCGAUGCGACAAUUCAAGUUAAGCAAGGCACUGGCAAAGAAGACGGAGACUUUGAGAAAACUUGAAGAAAAUAGCAGAAAGUUUCCAAAAGUGUCCCACAAAGCACCUCUUCAAGAGAUAAAAUUUCUUCCAUCAAAGGAAUUCACACUCUCAGGAUCGUCAAAAGAAGCUUUCAAACAGAUUAUGAAAGCUCUCAAAGAUGACAAGGUCAAUAUGAUCGGACUGUACGGCAUGGGAGGGGUGGGUAAAACCACCCUGGUGAAAGAAGUAGGCAGGAGAGCCAAAGAGUUGCACCUUUUUGAUGAAGUUUUGAUAGCUACGGUGUCCCAGAAUCCAAAUGCCACAGGCAUCCAGGAUCAAAUGGCAGAUAGUUUAGAUCUGCAAUUUGACAAGAAGAGUAAAGAAGGGAGAGCAAAAGAACUAUGGCAGAGACUGCAGGGAAAGAAGAUGCUUAUAGUCCUGGAUGAUGUUUGGAAAGAUAUUGACUUCCAAGAGAUAGGGAUCCCAUUUGGUGAUGAUCACAGGGGUUGUAAAAUUCUUCUAACAACACGUCUUGAAGACAUGUGUUCUUAUAUGAAGUGCAAGGAAAAAGUUUUUUUAUGUCUCUUUUCUAAAGAGGAAGCAUGGGCUUUAUUCAGAAUCAAUGCAGCUUUACGUGACGAGGACUCUACCUUGAACAGGGUGGCAAAGAAGGUUGCGAGAGAAUGUAAUGGAUUGCCUGUAGCACUUGUGACAGUGGGAAGGGCUCUAAGAGAUAAAUCUGUUGUUGAGUGGGAAGUAGCGUCUGAAGAGCUCAAAAACUCUCAAUUUCGGCAUUUGGAACAAAUUGACGGACAAAAAAAUGCAUAUGCAUGUCUUAAGUUGAGCUAUGAUUAUUUGACGUCCGAUGAAACCAAGUCAUGUUUCUUGCUAUGCUGUUUAUUUCCAGAAGAUUACGACAUUCCGAUUGAGGACUUGACGAGAUACGCAGUUGGCUAUGGGUUACAUAAAGAUGCGGAGUCCAUUGAAGAUGCAAGGAAACGAGUUUAUGUGGCAAUCAAAAACCUCAAAGCUUGUUGUAUGCUGUUAGGAACUUUUAGUGAAGAAUAUGUCAAAAUGCAUGACUUGGUUCGUGAUGUUGCUAUUCGGAUAGCAUCAUCAGAAAAAUACGGAUUCAUGGUAAAGGCUGGCAUUGGGUUGCUAGAGUGGCCAACGAGCAAUAAAAGCUUUGAAGGUUGUACAACAAUUUCGUUAAUGGGCAAUAAACUAGCAGAACUUCCUGAAGGAUUGGUGUGUCCACAGCUCAAAGUUCUAUUGUUAGGACUGGAUCGUGGUUUGAAUGUUCCAGAGAGGUUUUUUGAAGGGAUGAAAGCAAUAGAAGUUUUGUCUCUAAAGGGAGGGUGUUUGUCAUUGCAAUCACUUCAAUUCUCAACGAACCUUCAAUCGUUGCUGUUGAUCGAGUGUGAAUGCAAGGACCUCAUUUGGUUGAGAAAGCUGCAAAGACUUAAUAUUCUUGUUUUCAGGCGGUGCGGCUCCAUUGAAGAAUUACCUGAUGAAAUUGGGGAGCUCAAGGAGUUGAGGUUGUUGGAUUUGACAGGUUGUGAAAAUCUAAGAAGGAUUCCUG